rnacentral:rRNA from 1 species
CCCUUAGAUGUUCUGGACCGCACGCGCGCUACACUGACUGGUGCAACAAGUGUCGCUCCUUGGCCGAUAGGCCUGGGCAAUCUUUGAACGCCAGUCGUGAUGGGGAUAGAUUCUUGCAAUUUUUGAUCUUCAACGAGGAAUUCCUAGUAAACGCGAGUCAUCAACUCGCAUUGAUUACGUCCCUGCCCUUUGUACACACCGCCCGUCGCACCUACCGAUUGAAUGGUCCGGUGAACCCUCCGGAUCGGCUCGCGCCAACGCAAGUUGAGCAAAGGCCGAGAAGUUGGGUAAACCUUACCAUUUAGAGGAAGGUGAAGUCGUAACA